ACGCUGUAGGGGCGAUGGCCCAAAACAAUGCCAAGUCGAAACGAACUCUGGGUAUUGAUUGGUGCUUGCAUCAUGAUUUACAUUUGAGUGAGUGGCGAACUGGUGAGUAACACGUGGGAAACCUGCCCAGAAGCGGGGGAUAACACCUGGAAACAGAUGCUAAUACCGCAUAACAACUUGGACCGCAUGGUCCGAGUUUGAAAGAUGGCUUCGGCUAUCACUUUUGGAUGGUCCCGCGGCGUAUUAGCUAGAUGGUGGGGUAACGGCUCACCAUGGCAAUGAUACGUAGCCGACCUGAGAGGGUAAUCGGCCACAUUGGGACUGAGACACGGCCCAAACUCCUACGGGAGGCAGCAGUAGGGAAUCUUCCACAAUGGACGAAAGUCUGAUGGAGCAACGCCGCGUGAGUGAAGAAGGGUUUCGGCUCGUAAAACUCUGUUGUUAAAGAAGAACAUAUCUGAGAGUAACUGUUCAGGUAUUGACGGUAUUUAACCAGAAAGCCACGGCUAACUACGUGCCAGCAUCCGCGGUAAUACGUAGGUGGCAAGCGUUGUCCGGAUUUAUU
rnacentral:rRNA from 2 species